UGCUUAAUACAUGCAAGUCGAGUGCGCGGUACGGUGUACCAAUACAUUGUGCUGGCGCACGGCGCACGGGUGCGUAACACGUGGGUGACCUGCCCAAAGAUGGGGAAUAACCCCGCGAAAGCGGGGCUAAUACCGCAUGAUAUUCCGCGACAUUCGGGUUGCGGAUUCAAAGCCUUCGGGCGUCUUUGGAGGGGCCCGCGGCCGAUUAGCUAGUUGGCGAGGUAAUGGCUCACCAAGGCAAUGAUCGGUAGCUGGUCUGAGAGGACGAUCAGCCACACUGGAACUGAGACACGGUCCAGACUCCUACGGGAGGCAGCAGUGGGGAAUCUUGCGCAAUGGGCGAAAGCCUGACGCAGCGACGCCGCGUGGGGGAUGAAGCUUCUCGGAGUGUAAACCCCUUUCGAUCCACACGAAACGCCUCGCAAGAGGAAUUGACGGUACGGAGAGAAGAAGCCCCGGCUAACUACCUGCCAUCAGUCCGCGGUAAGACGUAGGGGGCCAGCGUUGCUCGGAAUUACUGGGCGUAAAGGGUUCGUAGGCGGUGCGGCAAGUCCGGAGUGAAAUCUCCCGGCUCAACUGGGAGGCUGCUUCGGAAACUGCCGUGCUCGAGUCCGGGAGAGGUGCGUGGAAUUGCAGGUGUAGCGGUGAAAUGCGUAGAUAUCUGCAGGAACACCAGAGGCGAAAGCGGCGCACUGGACCGGUACUGACGCUGAGGAACGAAAGCUAGGGGAGCAAACAGGAUUAGAUACCCUGGUAGUCCUAGCCCUAAACGAUCGGCACUUGAGGUGGGCCCCGUCCGGGGUCCGUCUCGCAGCCAACGCGAUAAGUGCCGCGCCUGGGGAGUACGGUCGCAAGACUGAAACUCAAAGGAAUUGACGGGGGCCCGCACAAGCGGUGGAACAUGUGGUUCAAUUCGACGCAACGCGAAGAACCUUACCUGGGCUCGAAAUGCUCGUGACCAUCUGUAGAAAUAUGGACUUCCCGCAAGGGACACGAGUAUAGGUGCUGCAUGGCUGUCGUCAGCUCGUGCCGUGAGGUGUUGGGUUAAGUCCCGCAACGAGCGCAACCCUUACAUUCUGUUGCCACCCCGCAAGGGGGGAACUCGGAAUGGACUGCUCCGGAUAACGGAGAGGAAGGUGGGGAUGACGUCAAGUCAGCAUGGCCUUUAUGUCCAGGGCUACACACGUGUUACAAUGCACGGUACAGACCGUUGCCAACCCGCGAGGGGGAGCUAAUCGGAAAAAGCCGUGCUCAGUUCGGAUUGCAGUCUGCAACUCGACUGCAUGAAGCCGGAAUCGCUAGUAAUGGCGUAUCAGAUCGGCGCCGUGAAUACGUUCCCGGGCCUUGCACACACCGCCCGUCACA
rnacentral:rRNA from 1 species